rnacentral:rRNA from 1 species
GAUGAACGCUGGCGGCGUGCCUAAUACAUGCAAGUCGAGCGAACGGACGAGAAGCUUUCUUCUCUGAUGUUAGCGGCGGACGGGUGAGUAACACGUGGAUAACCUACCUAUAAGACUGGGAUAACUUCGGGAGACCGGAGCUAAUACCGGAUAAUAUUUUGAACCGCAUGGUUCAAAAGUAAAAGACGGUCUUGCUGUCACUUAUAGAUGGAUCCGCGCUGCAUUAGCUAGUUGGUAAGGUAACGGCUUACCAAGGCAACGAUGCAUAGCCGACCUGAGAGCGUGAUCGGCCACACUGGAACUGAGACACGGUCCAGACUCCUACGGGAGGCAGCAGUAGGGAAUCUUCCGCAAUGGGCGAAAGCCUGACGGAGCAACGCCGCGUGAGUGAUGAAGGUCUUCGGAUCGUAAAACGCUGUUAUUAGGGAAGAACAUAUGUGUAAGUAACUGGGCACAUCUUGACGGUACCUAAUCAGGAAGCCACGGCUAACUACGUG